AAUUCCAGCUCCAAUAGUGUAUAUUAGAGUUGUUGCAGUUAAAAAGCUCGUAGUUGGAUUUCUGCUGUGGUCAUCCGGUACCGCCCGUACGGGUGCGCACCUGGUUUGGCUGCGGUUUUCUUCCUGUAGCCGUCCGCGCUUAAUUGCGUGUGUUGUGUUGCGGAACUUUUACUUUGAGAAAAAUAGAGUGUUUCAAGCAGGCUUGUCGCCCUGAAUACUUCAGCAUGGAAUAAUAGGAUAGGACCUUGGUUCUAUUUUGUUGGUUUCUAGGACCAAGGUAAUGAUUAAUAGGGACAGUUGGGGGCAUUCGUAUUUAACUGUCAGAGGUGAAAUUCUUAGAUUUGUUAAAGACGAACUACUGCGAAAGCAUUUGCCAAGGAUGUUUUCAUUAAUCAAGAACGACAGUAGGGGGUUUGAAGACGAUUAGAUACCGUCGUAAUCUCUACCAUAAACUAUGCCGACUAGAGAUAGGGAAACGCCUACCUUGGCUUCUCCUG
rnacentral:rRNA from 1 species